GGUUUCGUGGUGUAGUUGGUUAUCACGUCAGUCUAACAGCGCUUCAAUAAUGAAGCCUGUGAUCACUGAAGGUCUCCGGUUCAAGUCCGGGCGAAAUCA
rnacentral:tRNA from 1 species